rnacentral:ncRNA from 2 species
GAGUGAGGUAGAGGCGCAAAAACCAAGAGUACCCUCCGGAGAUAUGGGAAUCUAUGAUGGAGCUGGGAAAGGGGAAUUUGCCGAAGUGUGCACGCGAUACCCAAGCGGUGCAUGCUGGGCUUACGUUGAAUAAGCGUAAGACUGUCAUUUGUAUGUCCUACCCGUCAUGCAAAUGGAGAGCUAUCUCACCG